GGCUGCCGUUUUGUUUAGUAUGUGACGCACCGCGGCCUUUCUUUCGUGUGGAUUGUCAUGUCAAUUAAAGCGUGCAUUAAUUUUAAUCUUCUCCAAACGACGUCACAUUAAACUCUUCUUUGCACACGUGUAUCACAAUUACUGUUGCUGCAGCCAUUAAAAAAAUAUUCCCCAGAAAGCUCUCGAGAGAGUGGAUUUUCCUGCCGGCCAAACACUCCCGCUGCUCCACCUGCCCCCAUGGACACUCAUUUCCUCAGCUAUUGAGGAAAUCUGUUCCCGCGGCACAAUUGGCCCCUCACUUUCAUCCCUCUAGUCUACCCUAACUACCACGCCUUCUGUCUCCCGCUAAGCCUCUCUCUGGUCCAAACCCAUUUAGACCCACAGACCCAAAAAUGGAGCGUUUUGAUCAUCUUAGGGAUUCCUUUGUUGGCAUAUGUGACACUCCUUCCUCCGGCAUUGGUCCUCUUCAGCAUCGCACUCUUGAGCGCCUGGCCAUCGUGAGAACAAAUGGAAUAACACAAAUCAACUUGCCGUGGAAUUCGGCAUAGAAGGGAACAACUUCUUUUAUAGAGUGAGGAACCUUGAAUGUCAACAAUUGAUUGUGAGACGACCGGUCAUUGCGAAGACGAAAGAAGCUGACUGUGAAAGGAAGACUAAGAACAGUUUGAUUGUAAAUACCAAUUUGAUAUAUCUACCCCGUUAUAAGAAGCAUUUAGGUGUUCAACAAAGAUUUGAGAUUAACAAAGAAGAACGCAAUUUUUUUUUUUUUUUUUUUUUUUUUGGGGCGGGGGGUGGGGAGGGGCUUGUGGCUUAUCCUGGGAAUGUAGAGGAAACUGUUGUAAGUGGAGAUUAUUUUUUUGAGUUAGAGCCUUUUAAAGGUGAUGUACUUAUUAAGGAUUCUUAACCCUAGAUGAAGGUUGUUUCUGAUAAACUUGAAAAAGCCAAUGACAGGUUAACUUUUGGGAUUAUGCUGAUUAUUUGAUUACCGAAGGUCCUUUUUUGUCCCGGAUAUCAAAUAGGUUCUUUGCUGUACCGGAACUUCACGGCACAGAGCUUGGAAAAGUAUAUGUACUAGUUUGAUAGAUGCUGGCAUUGUUGAGGAGUUUCAUGCUAAAGUGAAUGAGAAGGUUCAACUGCUUACGCUUAUUGAAGAAGUUUACUCCAAAGAAUUUUGAGAACAAGCCUCUUGGGUGGACAUGUUUUGAGAGAGAAAAAUAGCGAAGUUUGGAAGAAGGUUUCAACAAACUGAGCAGUUUGUAGAUCUUCCUGUUGACCAUCAAAUUUAUGAUAUGAUUGAAGCCAAAAGAACAGACGGGGCUACCGUUAUUGAGAUAAUGUUGAUAUGAACAGGUAUGUUGGAGGCUUGGAAUUGAUAGGUAAAGAAACAAUUCUCGGCUGUACAAUUUGUUCUCUAGGUUUCGGAUGCAUGUGUAGGCAGAAAACCAUACAAAACUGUAGCUUUUUGAGUUUGGAUUUCUGAUUCUAAUCCCAAGGAGUCAAAUGCAUUUCUAGAUAAUUUGAAAAAUGAUCUUGGUGGAAUAAACAUUUCUACUUUGAAUGUGGGCAAUCUUGAUGUUCCAGACAGAUCAACUGUGGCCUUUCUAGAGUGCAGUCCUUCAACUUCUGAAGUUGAUUUUGCUACCACCGGAAAACAAAAUAGCGGGGAGAUAAAUGCUGAACUAUGUCAAGGCUUCCCUGAGGAUGGUCCUUUUGACCAUGAGCUCUUCUGUCAUGACAAGGUGCCAGAGUUUCUCUAUGAGCCAAUGGAUAUUGCUUCUAAUGCAAAACUUAAUUUAGUGAAUACAAAAAUGGAGAUCAAUUCUGCUUCAUCAUAAACAGCUUUGUUGAAGCUACCUGAUUCAUAUCUGCCUUAACUACUGAUAAUGCCUUGAGGGAGCAGAGGAUACUUGAGAUGUUGCAGGGAAUCUGUAGGAUCAUAAAUUCCUUAUAACAAUAGAGCAUAAAUGUCUCUUGUGAGUCUUGGGCAUCAAAGGACAAGCACACAGCAACGGACAGGAAGACUACUUUCUGGAUACUAAACAAGCUUCAACGACGACAUUGCAGAUGUGUGCAUUAAAGCUUCCUGCUGUCAGAAACUGUACCAGCGGGAUCCUAUUGUACUUGUUCUGCAUCCGUGCAUUCAAAGUUUUCCUCCUGAACUACCUGGUGAAAUUCAUGAUAGGCCGAUUUCCUCUCACGCAAAAUUCACAUUCAGGCUUCAUCCAAGUUGAAGAUCAGGGAAUCAAUUGCUAUACUGAAUGGUGUCAUAAAAACUCAGAUUCAUGGGGGGUUCAGAUGGACAGCUGUUAAAGCAGAAGCCAUUGCUGGCCCACAUGAGCUUUCUUACAAUUGAAGCAGCUAUGGAUGCUAUUCCAAUUGAGCUAUUUUUAAAGGUGGUGUGGACUAGUAAAAAAUUUGAUGAUAUGAUUGCAAAGAGCAAGAUGAGUUUGUGUACGUCCGAUCUUCCUGUUGAAGAACACAAACAGCUGAUGGAGACUGCCAUUGAUAAUUGACAUUUUGCAACAAUUGAAGGUGCCUUUCUUCACGAAUGCCUCUGGAAAACCCUAACUUAACCAUUGGAGUGGGCUCACCGCGACAGCUUCAAUACCCUCCCGCACCAUUCACAUCACAAUAACGUAUCCAAUGAGCAUGUUUUCAAUAAUUUUGAAUUUAAAUUAAACCAGUUAACGAAAUAGCAUAUAUAAGCAUGUAAGCCCACUAAGCUAAUAUUAGAUUGCAAAGCCUUUUAACGUCGCUUGAACUAAGCCAGUACUAAAAGUCUCACUUCUAAAACCCAUACAACUAAUUUAAAAAUUUAAAUUAGAUUGUAACAAUAACCAACGGAAACAAAUUUACUCAUUGUUUGAAUUGGGAAGCAAACAAACAAGAAAUUUAUUUAAUAUGCAGUUGAAUUUUAAUAAAUACCAAUCAAGACCCGAGAGAGCAAUCCAAUUCACAACAAAGCGAACGAAGUUUCACUGGGCUGCAGCUGCCGGCUGUCAAAAUGGCCAAUAUUGAUGGUUAAUCGGCUUAAACGAGACGCGCAACGACACAAGGGCUAGCGGAAUUUGUCCCUAAACCAAAGCCCAUCUUUAUCUCCAUUCUUGUUAGCUGCUGGUAGCCUGCUAUUGGUCCAUUGCCUCAUAGGCAUCACUCUAUCUUCGCGCUAUCAGCACUGGCACCGCCUCCACCGACGCCACUGCCUAGAACCCACUUCAAGAAGUGAUAUUGAAAUUCCAUUAACGUUUAGAAAAUAUUUUAAGCUUCAUCCUCAAUCACAUUUAGCAGCCUUCGUCACAGCUGAAUGUUCCUGCAAUCAUGCCACGCCCCUCUCUGAUUACGCUUCCCACGUACGAUUCCAGUAGGUGAACUUCUUUUUGGUCUUCAUGAAUUGGGCAUUCCAUUGUUUUGGGUGAGUUGUGAUUUGUGAGUUGUUUUGGGUCUUAGGUUACAAUUUCAGUAGGUGAGCUUCUUCUGGGUCUUUGUGGGUCUCCAACGCCUUCUGGCUUUUAGUCUUGGUUUUUUCAUUCAGACUUGUUUUGGUGGAUGGAAGUUAUUGUUUCUUUUUUUUUUUUCCUGUUCAUUCAGAUUUGUUCAAAUUUGUUAGAAAAUUUUAAUGAACAAUUGGUUCUAUAUUGUUUGAUUUGAUUGUUCAAAUCACUUGAUUACUGGGUUGCAUUGGAAUUGUUGGAAUUUUAUUUGCGUCUGAUUGAUUACUGGGUUGUACUGUUUUAGUGUUUUACUGUUGAAAUUCCAUGAGUUCUGUGUGCGUGUGUGGGCGAGUGGGUGGGGGGGGCGCGGCACGGACUGGGGCCUGAAAUCAUGGGAUAGGCGCUGGAAGAACUGAUGAAUCAAUCGAACUGAACCAGAAUAAAUCGGUUCUGUUUGAUUGGGUUGCUUUUAAAGCACAAUUCAUUGGGUUGCUUUUAAAGCACAAUUCGGUUUUCCCCGCAUAUUCCAUGCUAUAUUAAAUUUCCGCUCUUUGUUUUUUCCCCAAUUGUUUUCCCAGGACUCGUGAUUCCCGUCUCUUUUUACACCCAUUCUCUGCAACAUGGCUUCCAUCCAUUGUUUUGGGUGAGUUGUGAUUUGUGAGUUGUUUUGGGUCUUAGGUUACAAUUUCAGUAGGUGAGCUUAUUCUGGGUCUUUGUGGGUCUCCAACGCCUUCUGGCUUUUAGUCUUGGUUUUUUCAUUCAGACUUGUUUUGGUGGAUGGAAGUUAUUGUUUCUUUUUUUUUUUUUUCCUGUUCAUUCAGAUUUGUUCAAAUUUGUUAGAAAAUUUUAAUGAACAAUUGGUUCUAUAUCGUUUGAUUUGAUUGUUCAAAUCACUUGAUUACUGGGUUGCAUUGGAAUUGUUGGAAUUGUAUUUGUGUCCGAUUGAUUACUGGGUUGUACUGUUUUAGUGUUUUAUUGUUGAAAUUCCAUGAGUUCUGUGUGCGUGUGUGGGUGAGUGGGUGGGGGGGCGCGGCACAGACUGGGGGCUGAAAUCAUGGGAUAGGCGCUGGAAGAACUGAUGAAUCAAUCAAACUGAACCAGAAUAAAUCGGUUCUGUUUGAUUGGGUUGCUUUUAAAGCACAAUUCGGUUUUCCCCGCUUAUUCCAUGCUAUAUUAAAUUUCUGCUCUUUGUUUUUUCCCCAAUUGUUUUCCCAGGGCUUAUGAUUCCCGUCUCUUUUUACACCCAUUCUCUGCAACAUGGCUUCCAAUGACAAUUAUCCUGCUUACGAAUCACCGUUGAAGAAAUCAAAGAUUAAGGAUAGCAUCCAUGGUGAAGGGCCAGUUAGCCAACCAAAGAUUGUGGGUAGCUCCGUUGCUGAACAGGUUGAAUAUAAGUUGAAUAUAAGGACAACAAAGAAGAAAUCGACUGCAACAUGGCUUUCUACGAUCAGUAUCAAAAGGAGGAAGAUAAUGACCCCAAUGGUUAAGAAUCACAGCGGCGGUCUCAUGAAAAACAAGGACCAUGUGAAAUUAUUAGACAAAUACGAUCGUCUUACUGAAGAAAGCGAUGUUUUGAUUUCUACCCUUUGCUUAGGCGGCCCAGAUUAACUGGUCUUGCUUAUCCCGUCAAUCUGGAUCUUGAUACUCUCUUCUCUAACGGGUGCAAAGAGGCCCUUAAAUAUGUUAUUGAAAAUGAGAAUGAAAAGGGUGCAAAUCUUAGCCUCCAGAGAAUUGUCAACACAAAUAUGCAUCCACCUGGUUUGUUUUACAUAACCUUUGAAGCUCUAGACACUUUUAUGGAUGAAGUCAAAACUCAUCAAACUAGGGUCUUUCGCAGCCCAUGUACCCCUUCUAACGUUGAAGUGCAGCUUUUCAGGCUAAAAAAAGUAAUCCAACCAGAUGACAAAUAGAGGUAAAUAGAAAACUGAUCUUGGUGGAAUUGACAUUUCUACUUUGAAUGUGGGGAGUCAUGAUGUUCCAGACUGAUCAACUGAGUCUUGUUAGAGUACAAUCUUUCAACUUCUGAAGUUGAUUUUUUGCUGCCACUGGAAAACAAAAUAGUGGGUGGUAAAUGCUAAACUAUGUCAAGGCUCCCCUGAGGACGGUCCUCCUGACCAUGAGCUCCUGUAAUGACAAGGUGCCCGAGUUUCUCCAUGAUUUUGAGCACAAAAAUGGUCAUAAAUUCUUCUUCAUCAGAAACUGCUUUGUUGAAGCUACCUGAUUCUGGAUCAUCUUAUUCAAAUCUGCCUUAACUACUGAUGAUGCCUUGAGGGAACAGAGGGUACAUGAAAGGUUACAGGUGCUCUUUUUCAUUCACUUUAUUGAAGGCUUACCAAGAAAUUAACUCAUUUUUCUUUCUGUAUUUUCUUUUCUGAAAAAGCUCCUUUUUUUUUUGGAAAAAAAAAAAUCUGUAAGAUGAUUUAUUCCUCAGAAAAGUAGAGCAUAAACUGCUGCAUAAUUUUUUAUGAGGUUA